rnacentral:rRNA from 1 species
AUUGAACGGUGGCGGCAUGCCUUACACAUGCAAGUCGAACGGCAGCGGACCUUCGGGUGCCGGCGAGUGGCGAACGGGUGAGUAAUAUAUCGGAACGUACCUUUCAGUGGGGGAUAACGUAGCGAAAGUUACGCUAAUACCGCAUAUUCUGUGAGCAGGAAAGCAGGGGAUCGCAAGACCUUGCGCUGAUUGAGCGGCCGAUAUCAGAUUAGCUAGUUGGUGAGGUAAAGGCUCACCAAGGCGACGAUCUGUAGCGGGUCUGAGAGGAUGAUCCGCCACACUGGAACUGAGACACGGUCCAGACUCCUACGGGAGGCAGCAGUGGGGAAUUUUGGACAAUGGGCGCAAGCCUGAUCCAGCCAUGCCGCGUGAGUGAAGAAGGCCUC